UUUUCGUCAAACCAUCUGUCGGGAAAAAAAAAACACGUUAGUUGCCGCCGGCGAUUCCUCUGUCUUCUUUCAAUCGUCGUCGCCGGCGAUUCGAAAGCCGUCUCUGUGUCUGGCGCCGUCUUGCUUCCUCUUGAUUUCAGCUUGAAGCUUCCUAUUGGUUUUGGAUCUACAUUACAUCAAAGGUUAUCAAUGGAAAACAAUCUAGGAAGCACGAGUAAGACAUCAGGUACUUUAACAUACUAAUUUUUGUUUGCUAACUGCAACUAUGCACUAUAAUUAGUCAUCACUGUGAAUGGUUUUAUUUACAUAUGUUUGUUUUUUAUGUGCACCCACUACUAAGGAGUUUCCCAAGCUCCUUUUCGGACAUGGUAAAGAGCUUGAAGUUGAGAAAAUUAACAACAGCUGCAGAUUAUCGAUACUUAGGAAAAUCAAAGAUGCUUUGCCACUAGAGUAUAAGAAAGUGAAGUCUGAUCCUCUGUUUGCACAAGUCUUCGCCAUAUACGAAAAUGGUUUA